rnacentral:rRNA from 1 species
UACGUAGGUGGCGAGCGUUAUCCGGAAUUAUUGGGCGUAAAGAGGGAGCAGGCGGCACUAAGGGUCUGUGGUGAAAGAUCGAAGCUUAACUUCGGUAAGCCAUGGAAACCGUAGAGCUAGAGUGUGUGAGAGGAUCGUGGAAUUCCAUGUGUAGCGGUGAAAUGCGUAGAUAUAUGGAGGAACACCAGUGGCGAAGGCGACGAUCUGGCGCAUAACUGACGCUCAGUCCCGAAAGCGUGGGGAGC